rnacentral:rRNA from 1 species
AAAGCCUUCGGGUUGUAAAGCUCUUUCGACGGGGACGAUGAUGACGGUACCCGUAUAAGAAGCCCCGGCUAACUUCGUGCCAGCAGCCGCGGUAAUACGAAGGGGGCUAGCGUUGUUCGGAAUUACUGGGCGUAAAGCGCGCGUAGGCGGCGAUCUUUGUCAGAGGUGAAAGCCCGGGGCUCAACUCCGGAAUUGCCUUUGAAACGGGAUCGCUAGAGUCCGAGAGAGGAUGGCGGAAUUCCUAGUGUAGAGGUGAAAUUCGUAGAUAUUAGGAAGAACACCGGUGGCGAAGGCGGCCAUCUGGCUCGGUACUGACGCUCAGGCGCGAAAGCGUGGGGAGCAAACAGGAUUAGAUACCCUGGUAGUCCACGCCGUAAACGAUGGGUGCUAGUUGUUAGGAAGUUUACUUCUUAGUGACGUAGCUAACGCGUUAAGCACCCC